AACGAACGCUGGCGGCAUGCCUAACACAUUCAAGUCGAACGAGACCUUCGGGUCUAGUGGCGCACUGGUGCGUAACGCGUGGGAACCUGCCCUUAGGUUCGGAAUAACUCCCCGAAAGGGGUUCUAAUACCGGAUAAUGUCUUCGGACCAAAGAUUUAUCGCCUUUGGAUGGGCCCGCGUUGGAUUAGCUAGUUGGUAGGGUAAAAGCCUACCAAGGCGACGAUCCAUAGCUGGUCUGAGAGGAUGAUCAGCCACACUGGGACUGAGACACGGCCCAGACUCCUACGGGAGGCAGCAGUGGGGAAUAUUGGACAAUGGGCGAAAGCCUGAUCCAGCAAUGCCGCGUGAGUGAUGAAGGCCUUAGGGUUGUAAAGCUCUUUUACCCGGGAUGAUAAUGACAGUACCGGGAGAAUAAGCUCCGGCUAACUCCGUG
rnacentral:rRNA from 1 species